CCUACGGGUGGCAGCAGCGGGGAAUAUUGCACAAUGGGGGAAACCCUGAUGCAGCGACGCCGCGUGAGUGAAGAAGUAUUUCGGUACGUAAAGCUCUAUCAGCAGGGAAGAAAAUGACGGUACCUGACUAAGAAGCCCCGGUUAACUACGUGCCAGCAGCGGCGGUAAUACGUAGGGGGCAAGCGUUAUCCGGAUUUACUGGGUGUAAAGGGAGCGUAGACGGCAGCGCAAGUCUGGAGUGAAAUCCCAUGGCUUAACCAUGGAACUGCUUUGGAAACUGUGCAGCUAGAGUGCAGGAGAGGUAAGCGGAAUUCCUAGUGUAGCGGUGAAAUGCGUAGAUAUUAGGAGGAACACCAGUGGCGAAGGCGGCUUACUGGACUGUAACUGACGUUGAGGCUCGAAAGCGUGGGGAGCAAACAGGAUUAGAUACCCUUGUAGUC
rnacentral:rRNA from 1 species